rnacentral:lncRNA from 1 species
AUAAUUUAAACUAUACUCAUAAUUUCAAUAUAUUUAAUUUAUUAUUAUCUCUUUUACAAUUAUAUAAGAACAUGUUUAAAAUAUAAAUUAAAAAAAUAAUUAAUUUAAACCCAAAACCCUAACCCGACCCCUGAAUCCCUAAACCUUAAAUCCCUAGCUCUUAACCCCUAACAUCCUAACCCCUAACCCCUAAACCUUAAAUCUCAACCCUUAAACCAUAAUCUCUAGUCCAUAAUCCCUAAAUCCAUACCCCCUAAACCUUAAAAUAUGAACUCCUAAACCGGCCUUAAAUCUUAAAUUAAUCAUAUAACCUAAACUAAAAACCCUAAACAAAUUUAUUAUUAUCUCUUUUACAAUUAUAUAAGAACAUAUUUGAAAUAUAAAUUAAAAAAAUAAUUAAUCUAAACCCAAAACCCUAACUUGACCCCUGAAUCCCUAAACCCUAAAUCCCUAGCUCUUAACCCCUAACGUCUAACCCCUAAACCAC